rnacentral:rRNA from 1 species
UGGGGAAUUUUGCACAAUGGGGGAAACCCUGAUGCAGCGACGCCGCGUGAUUUAGAAGGCCUUCGGGUUGUAAAAAUCUUUUCUAUGGGAAGAAAAUGACAGUACCAUAGGAAUAAGGACCGGCUAAUUACGUGCCAGCAGCCGCGGUAAUACGUAAGGUCCGAGCGUUGUCCGGAAUCAUUGGGCGUAAAGGGUACGUAGGCGGGUAAGCAAGUUAGAAGUGAAAUCCUAUAGCUCAACUAUAGUAAGCUUUUAAAACUGCUCAUCUUGAGGUAUGGAAGGGAAAGUGGAAUUCCUAGUGUAGCGGAGAAAUGCGCAGAUAUUAGGAGGAAUACCGGUGGCGAAGGCGACUUUCUGGCCAUAACCUGACGCUGAGGUACGAAAGCGUGGGUAGCAAACAGG